rnacentral:rRNA from 1 species
GAUGAACGCUGGCGGCGUGCCUAAUACAUGCAAGUCGAGCGAACAGACGAGGAGCUUGCUCCUCUGACGUUAGCGGCGGACGGGUGAGUAACACGUGGAUAACCUACCUAUAAGACUGGGAUAACUUCGGGAAACCGGAGCUAAUACCGGAUAAUAUAUUGAACCGCAUGGUUCAAUAGUGAAAGACGGUUUUGCUGUCACUUAUAGAUGGAUCCGCGCCGCAUUAGCUAGUUGGUAAGGUAACGGCUUACCAAGGCAAUGAUGCGUAGCCGACCUGAGAGGGUGAUCGGCCACACUGGAACUGAGACACGGUCCAGACUCCUACGGGAGGCAGCAGUAGGGAAUCUUCCGCAAUGGGCGAAAGCCUGACGGAGCAACGCCGCGUGAGUGAUGAAGGUCUUCGGAUCGUAAAACUCUGUUAUUAGGGAAGAACAAAUGUGUAAGUAACUAUGCACGUCUUGACGGUACCUAAUCAGAAAGCCACGGCUAACUACGUG